AAAACCUGAAUAAUCAAAGUCUACUGAUUAAUUAGUGUAAUAAUCGCUGAUUAGUUGAUUAAUCAUUUUAAUAAUCGUUAAGAUUAAUCGAUUAUUAAAAUAAUCGUUUGUUGCGGCCCUAUUUGUGACCCUGGAGGAGGACUGAAGGACUGACGGCACACGAGCGGCCACAUGUAAGAAAGCCUGCGUGUGGAAGCGCUGUGUGUUUCUGUGACGCGUCUUCAGUCUGUAGAUGAGAUCAGUUCCUCUUUCAUUCUGAUCCGGCAGCUCUGUCAGUCAUUGUUUGAGCUGGUUUCAUCAAUGAUCUGUUCACACUCGAGUGCGUCACGAAGGACUUACAGUCUCUUCAGCUCAUGAUUACAGUAAGACUUCAUUCAUCAUUAACUCAGAAACAUCUGAAAAUCAUCACUUUGUCAUCGUUCACUCUCUCUCAUGUCAUUCAAACCAGAGUCACUGAGACAUUUCCCAAAUAUCUCCUCCUGAAAGUCAGUGCUGUUCUUCAGUCUGAACACUGAGGAUGAAUGUGUGAAAGUGUCUCAUGAUCUGCAUAUUGUCAUAUUUCCUCCUCAGAACAUAAACGCUUCUCUGAUAUGAGCUCCAUCUGAGUGUCUCACCAGACAUUCUGCUCUCUUCAUAUCAUGAGAAGAAAAGAUGCUGCUUUGGUGAAUGUACAUUAAUGAGC
ensembl:lncRNA